CAACCCUUAAGCCCUCGUUGCUUAGCGUUGGGAGCCUACCCUUCUGGGUAGCUCCCCAAAGUCAGUGGCGGAGUCGGUUUCACGCUCUAGACGUAGUAGUUUUAUUCUCGUCUGCAGCUGGGCCGGCGUCCUGCCGUAAAACACCCCAAUUUUUCUUAAAGG
rnacentral:misc_RNA from 1 species